UAUGCUAAACGCACGCGCGCGGCACACCCUCCUCCCAAGAAACCCUAGGUCAGGCGCUGCCACCUCCCUCUUCCCGAUCCAGAUUCCUCCUCCUUCGCCCCUCCCUUCCACCACCUGCAGUCGCCCCUGCAGCAGAUCAAGCGAGCCGCCCAACCUCACCGUUGAUAGAUGCACCGCCGCCUAGCAGCCACGGCUGGAUGGCUCGCCGGUGUGCGCGUGCUUCAAUGCGCGCCGCCGCCGCUCCACCGGCCUCCUAUGUCUCUUCCAGUCAGAUCCGACGGGCACAUCUUCCUACAGCCAUGAGCGACCACCCAACUCCACUCUCGAUCCCCAAAGCCAAAGGCAGAGACAGCCGCCACCGGCCUAUCAAGUUGAUCUCUCAGGCAGAGACAAGUCGAGGCCCUCUCUGUCUCUCCCCCGUGGCUCCUCCUCGUCGCCGCCACCCAACGCCGGCCGAUUCCGGCAACUCCCGCCACCGCGCAGCACGCGCCCGAGCUUGCCUCGCUCCGCCGCGUCCCCCCUCCGGCCAGAUGCGCCGCUCACGGCCCACCCGCAACCCCCCCCCCCCCCCCCCCCUCCCCGUGGCCAGGGCUAGGGUUUCUGUAGCGGCGUCGCCUCCGUUGCCCGCCGGCGCCUACAGCACUCCGGCGCGCGUCCUCUGGCGGAUUCCUCCUCUCCUAUCCUCCGGUGACGGUAACUUAAAAUCGGACCCCAACCACUCUACUCUGCUACUAGCACACAUGGUUGCAACUCUGCUGGUUCUAACUGCUGUUUGCUCUUCCGGGAUUAUUGUUUUCUUCUCCUAGUUUAAUUAGAUAUAUCAUGUACUAGUUGGGUUUAUGUUAACAAAUGCUUGCUGCUUCGCUUGCCUGACUUGUCGAUGGUGCUCUCGCUUGGAGCAGUAUGCCCGCCGCUCCAGCACCUUCUUCUGCUUUGACAAGUCGGUCACCCCUGUCGUCAUCAAGGUCCAUCCUCGAGUGCAUCAGUUCACUGGACCUAAAACUUUCUUUUACUAAUUCCUUGAGAAUAAUCAGUUAGCAAGUAGGGGUGUUAUCCUUUGGUAAAGGGGGUGCUUGUGAAUAGUGUUGGAGUUGUGUCUUGAGGAUCUGAAAUACAACUUGUAGUUUCAGACACGAGGCAUUAUAUAGGGACACUCCAACACAUGUUUAAACAGAUAGAGGUGUUUUGCUAGGCAUGGUCGUAUGAUGUCUCGUAUCUUCUGUAUGAUGAGGCAUUAUAUAGGGACGCUCCAGCAAUUGUUUUAUCCAAAGGCAGAGAUAGAUCCGAUGGACAUCACA